CAGAAUAUAGCUUAACUAAAGCAUUUUGCUUACACCAAAAAAAUAUCUAUUUACCCAGAUUAUACUG
rnacentral:tRNA from 1 species